GCCUCAGUAACGGCGAGUGAAGCGGCAAUAGCUCAAAUUUGAAAUCUGGCGCCCUCGCGGGUGCCCGAGUUGUAAUUUGCAGAGGGCGCUUUGGCGUCGGCUGCGGCCUAAGUCCCUUGGAACAGGGCGUCAUGGAGGGUAAGAAUCCCGUAUGUGGCCGCCAGCCUUCGCCGCGUAAAGCCCUUCGACGAGUCGAGUUGUUUGGGAAUGCAGCUCUAAAUGGGAGGUAAAUUCCUUCUAAAGCUAAAUACCGGCCAGAGACCGAUAGCGCACAAGUAGAGUGAUCGAAAGAUGAAAAGCACUUUGGAAAGAGAGUCAAAAAGCACGUGAAAUUGUUGAAAGGGAAGCGCUUGCAGCCAGACGUGCCCGCAGUCGCUCAUCUGGGCUCCGGCCCGGUGCACUCCUCUGCGGGCAGGCCAGCAUCAGUUUCGGCGGUCGGAUAAAGGCGUCUGUCACGUACCAUCCCCCGGGAUGGCCUUAUAGGGGGCGCGCAAUACGACCAGCCGGGACUGAGGUUCCGCGCAUCUGCUAGGAUGCUGGCGUAAUGGUGGCAAGCGGCCCGUCUUGAAACACGGACCAAGGAGUCUAACAUCUAUGCGAGUGUUUGGGCGUCAAGCCCCGGCGCGCAAUGAAAGUGAACGGAGGUGGGAGCCCUCGGGCGCACCAUCGACCGAUCCUGAUGUCUUCGGAUGGAUUUGAGUAAGAGCAUAGCUGUUGGGACCCGAAAGAUGGUGAACUAUGCUUGAAUAGGGUGAAGCCAGAGGAAACUCUGGUGGAAGCUCGCAGCGGUUCUGACGUGCAAAUCGAUCGUCAAAUUUGGGCAUAGGGGCGAAAGACUAAUCGAACCAUGAAGCCUACUAGGUGGUUAAGAGGGCCCUCGAAGAGGGGGCUCUAGUCCCCUGCGCUGCAGGGGGCAACGCCGUCAAAUUGCGGGGACGCCCACGGAUCUCAGCGCACCGCGGCUCCGUCGAAAGGCGGAGUGCAGCACCGGCCGCAAUGGGCCGGGGAGGGUAACAGCCGCUGAGAAUGGGGUAAUCCGCAGCUAAGCCCUAAGGCCGCCGGGCGGCUACGGGCAGAGUUCACAGACUAGAUGUCGGCGGGUGGCGCCGGAGGGCGCCGCUCAAGAUAUAGUCGAAACCCAUCACGAGAGCGA
rnacentral:rRNA from 1 species